rnacentral:snoRNA from 1 species
UGGUCAUUUACCAAGGCAUUUGGGAUGCAUUGUUCCUGACUUGCUAUGGACGUGACCAAAAAUUAAAACCCAUCCUAAUGAGUCACUUCAGUUUCAAUGCUGUUGGGGUUUCUUAGGAACAGUC